UAUGGUGAGACGCGGCAGACGGCUCAGUAACACGUGGCUAACCUACCCUCAGGACAGGGACAAACCCGGGAAACUGGGGCUAAUACCCGAUAGGCGAGGGCGCCUGGAAUGGUUCUUCACCCAAAGGGCUUUGGAAGCAUGCUUUUCAAAGUCGCCUGGGGAUGGGGCCGCGUCCGAUCAGGUUGUUGGUGAGGUAACGGCUCACCAAGCCUAUAACCGGUACGGGCCGUGAGAGCGGUAGCCCGGAGAUGGGCACUGAGACAAGGGCCCAGGCCCUACGGGGCGCAGCAGUCGCGAAAACUCCGCAAUGCACGAAAGUGUGACGGGGCUACCCCGAGUGCCGUCCGCUGAGGAUGGCUUUUCCUCGGUGUAACUAGCCGGGGGAAUAAGGAGAGGGCAAGACUGGUGUCAGCCGCCGCGGUAAUACCAGCUCUCCGAGUGGUAGGGAUGAUUAUUGGGCCUAAAGCGUCCGUAGCCGGCUUAGCAAGUCUCCUGUUAAAUUCAGCGACCUAAUCGUUGAGCCGCGGGAGAUACUACUAGGCUAGGAGGCGGGAGAGGCCGACGGUACUUCCGGGGUAGGGGUGAAAUCCUAUAAUCCCGGGCGGACCACCAGUGGCGAAGGCUGUCGGCUAGAACGCGCUCGACGGUGAGGGUCGAAAGCUGGGGGAGCGAACCGGAUUAGAUACCCGGGUAGUCCCAGCCGUAAACGAUGCGGG
rnacentral:rRNA from 1 species